CUCUUCACUGCCAUCAGGAAAUGGACAGCCCACUUCCACUCCAGUGAACCAAAAGCUGCCUUUUCCCAGACAAGGAAGGGAAAGAAGAUUUUAGGAGAGAGCCAUUAAUGUGUCUUCUUUCAGUUUUCAGGUUACCGAAGCCUCUACGGAAACCAAAAGGAAGAGACCCUGCUCCCCAGCCUGAGAAGCAGCAGAGGAGGUUUAUUACGGAGUAUGAAAAUCAGGAAGCUUUUUGUUCACUUCAUACAUCUCCUCCAACAAAGCCAGGCAUCAGCACCCCGGCACAGACUCCGGAGUGAUUAUUGUUACACAUGAUCUAUGGAGCAGAUAAAUUACAGCUUGAUUUUUAUAAGACAGGAGAAAACCCCCGCGGAACCAGCCAGCACAUGUUUCGUGGCAAGAUCAGGGCCUCAGACACCACAAACUCUUCCUUUUUGGGCUCAAGAUCCUGAGAAGCUGCGGAAAAUUUGGGCAGAAGCAGAUCCUCUCAGCGUUGCACGGGACAGCAGACGUGACCUGCUCGGGGAUGUGGAGACACCUGGCACGGGGUCCUCAGUCUGGUCGGAUGGGAUGGAACAGGUGACCAUCAUGCUCUUGUAUUUUUUAACUUUGGGAAAAAAGGAAAUUUUUCUUUGGGAGUUAUGGGAGCUCUUGGCUGGCUGUAUCAGAAAAGUUUCCUUGGAUCUCUUCCACUUCAUGCCAGGAUAUUGUUCAGUCUAAUGACCAGCUUGAGAGAAAUGUUUCCACUUUCUAGAGUGGAGUGAUUUACUACCUUACCUCUCCCAGCAUUUCCAUAGAGGUGAAUUCCACACAUUUUUAAACCUGUAGUCAGAAUUUGUGCUCCAGGAUCCUUUUAAAGCCAGGCUCAGCGAUACUACGUACCAUUAGCAGUGGAUCCCUCUGAGAAAGGAGAAUGGGAUUUUCCCCCACUGUGAUCAGCACUGUCUUUUCUGCUUUAUUUUCCUUCUGGGCUGUCCUCACCCCUUUGUUUCCUCUCUGGGAUGGCAUCAUUCCUCCCCUCUGAGGCCGAGCUGCCGCGCAGCCUCUGUGCAGCAUCUGAGAGGGUACGAGGCGGUAGUGGAAGUGCUGGAGUGUCCCGGCACUAAUCACAUAUUAUCACCUUACGAUAAUUAUCCAAGCUGAUUCUGAAUGAAUCCUCUUUGGAGAAGGUCCUUGGCCUGCCCUCUGCUUGGCAGAAUGCCCGAGGUGCCACUGGCACGAACACAUGAAGACUGGUGAAAUCCAAAGUGCCGUAUUACGUUGCAGGAAGCAGCCAGCCAGGUGUUACCACCAAGACAUAAUAAAUUCCUGUUGGUACGGCA
rnacentral:lncRNA from 1 species